CGAAGGCAGCUCGCCGGGCCGAAAUCGACGCUGAGGCACGAAAGCGUGGGGAUCAAACAGGAUUAGAUACCCUGGUAGUCCACGCCGUAAACGAUGAUGGCUGGGUGUUGGCGAUACAUAGUCAGCGCCUGAGGGAAACCAUUAAGCCAUCCACCUGGGGAGUACGGCCGCAAGGCUGAAACUCAAAGGAAUUGACGGGGGCCCGCACAAGCGGAGGAACAUGUGGUUUAAUUCGAUGAUACGCGAGGAACCUUACCUGGGCUUAAAUGUAGAGUGCAUUUUCUAGAGAUAGGAAUUCCCUUCGGGGCUUUCUACAAGGUGCUGCAUGGUUGUCGUCAGCUCGUGCCGUGAGGUGUCGGGUUAAGUCCCAUAACGAGCGCAACCCCUAUCGUUAGUUGCCAUCAGGUAAAGCUGGGGACUCUAAUGAAACUGCCUACGCAAGUAGUGAGGAAGGUGGGGAUGACGUCAAAUCAGCACGGCCCUUACGUCCAGGGCUACACACGUGUUACAAUGGCCGGUACAGAGGGCAGCCACCCCGCGAGGGGGCGCGAAUCCCGAAAGCCGGUCUCAGUUCGGAUCGGAGUCUGGAACCCGACUCCGUGAAGCUGGAUUCGCUAGUAAUCGCGCAUCAGCCAUGGCGCGGUGAAUACGUUCCCGGGCCUUGUACACACCGCCCGUCAAGCCAUGGGAGCUGGGGGUACCUGAAGUGCGUGACCGCGAGGAGCGCCCUAGGGUAAGACCGGUGACUGGGGCUAAGUCGUAACAAGGUAGCCGUACCGGAAGGUGCGGCUG
rnacentral:rRNA from 1 species